CCUACGGGCGGCAGCAGUGAGGAAUAUUGGUCAAUGGGCGGGAGCCUGAACCAGCCAAGCAGCGUGAGGGAUGACUGCCCUGCGUGUUGUAAACUUCUUUUGUAAAGGAAUAAAGUGGGGCACGUGUCCCUGGAUGUGUGUACUUUAAGAAUAAGCAUCGGCUAACUCCGUGCCAGCAGCCGCGGUAAUACGGAGGAUCCGAGCGUUAUCCGGUUUUAUUGGGUUUAAAGGGAGCGUAGACGGUGUGUUAAGUCCGUGGGUAAAGGUCUCGGCUCAACCCUCAAAUCGCCAUUGAUACUGGCAGUCUUGAGUAGAGGUGAGGUAUGCGGAAUGCGUGGUGUAGCGGUGAAAUGCUUAGAUAUCACGAAGAACUCCGAUUGCGAAGGCAGCUUAC
rnacentral:rRNA from 1 species